UAAUUCUGUCUGUCUUUUCCAUCUAGCCUGGGGAUUUCACUGGAGCUUUUCCAGUCUGAGAAAACGGCUAGCCCGAGUGGCCAAGUUUUCAAGUCUCUUGCGUCUUUCCUACUUUAUUAAUGUGUUCCUUAAAAGAAACCAAAAGUCCAGCCUUUCCCAUUAAAGUGAACUAUACUUGCAGUUGACAUGGGCUAGCAUAGUUAAUAAUGUAGAUCUAUGCCAUUAUCGUUAUUGUCUUAUUUGAAAUCUCGGAUGUAUCAAGAAAAAUGAAAGAGAGCUGUUUGUUUGGUAAACUGAGUUUGAUUCCCAUAUACCAGUGAAAAUAUGGUUUUAAAAUACAUUUUAUUUUGCUGUUCAUCUCUCAGUAAUUUGUUUAUUAAAAAGAACAAAGCUCACUCGACUACAUAAGAUAAUACCUUUAACUUUAUGUUUUCCCAAGAGAUUAUACAUGGUGUGAUAUGGAAAUGUUUGUGGUUGUCUGUGGCAAAAGUAAAUUUACUCCGUACCUGUAGAAAGCCCUAUUGCACAUAACUGGAAAGAGCUAGCGGAAUUAUUUUUCUGCUAAUGAAAAGUAUUAAUGGAGAAAGGGAAAUUAAUGAUUUUUUUUAACAUUUGUUAUCAGGCAGAAAAAGUGCUGAAGUCUAAAAAUUAAACUUGUUUCACAGUCAGUGGCUGUGGAUCCUUUUGGUAGAGACAGAUUUGCUCUGUUUUAGACCAGGCGAUCUUAGUUUGUGUCAAUAUAAAUGCACCCCACUUCCCAAUAGGUAGAAUGUGGGCUUCCGUGACCCAGCUUCAGUAACAUAUCCAGUGGACGCCACAUUGUUCUAGACCUUAUCUGUCCAUAAGCAAAUUCCUUGAGUUUCUCUGACACCAGACUUCUUCUUAGGAACACACGAGAAACACUGACCCUCAGAAGCUGAGAAGAGUGGGACAUUUCAUAAAAGACCCUGGCUUUCCAGACAGUAAAGUACUUUUCGCUACCUUAAGGUGGUCUGCAGUGAAGAAAUGCUCUAGGUUAGCUAGAGGUGGGCUGCUUGUGGGAAUGGCAGUGAAGAGACACCAUGACAUAGCAGCUCUUAUAAAGGCUGACUUAGAGUUCAGAAGCCUGACCCAUUAUUGUCAUGGUGGAUGGCAUGCAGGAGAGCGGGCAGACAUGGUGCUGGAGGAGCUGAAAGUUCUAUAUAUUUUUGUAAAGAUGUACUUAUUUAUUUUAUGUAUUUUAUGUAUAUGACUGUAGCUGUCUUCAGACACACCAGAAGAGGACAUCAGAUCCCAUUACAGAUGGUUGUGAGCCACCAUGUGGUUGCUGGGAUUUGAACUCAGGACCUCUGGAAGAGUGGACAGUGCUCUUAACCACUGAGCCACCUCUCCAGCCCCAAAGUUCUAUAUCUUGAUCCACAGACAGCAGAAGGAGACUAUGUGCCACACUUGGCAUGGCUUGAGCAUCCUUGACCUCAAAGCCUACCCACCAGUGACACACUUCCUCCCACAAGGCCACAUGUCUUAGAAGUACCAAUCCCUGUGGGCCAAGCUUUUCAAACAUGUAUAUUCUCUGGGGGCCAUUGCUAUUCAAACCAUCACAGCAGUAAAGUGUGUUUGUCAUCCCAUCCAUAGCCCACUGAACUCUGCGCAUUCCCACACUGAAGGAACUGAACCACCUGAGGAGAGCAUACAGCAGAGUAGAGGGCAAGAGGAGACAGGACAGCUCAUCACCCUGGAUUACAAGACCUUCUUAGAUUCUUCUCCUGUCAUUGAUAAACUAAGAGAGUAGAUGACACGGUCUCUAAUGACUACAGCCAGGCAUUUUCUAAAGCAUGUUGUAAUGUAACCAUGUUCCUCCAGUUCCAGUUUUAACAGCUACUUACAGUGAGCGUAUAUAAGAAACACAAAAAGUGCUUAUUUAUAGAUUAAUAAUUGGACUCCAGAAGUUAGUGUUGACAUCGAGAGAGUCCUCCUACCUUGGUCCUAUAAAGCAUUUAAAACCAGCAACUUGAAAAAAAA
rnacentral:sRNA from 1 species